CACGUAGGGCGCAAGCGUUUGUCCGGAAUUAUUGGGCGUAAAGAGCUCGUAGGCGGUCUGUUGCGUCUGCUGUGAAAACCCGGGGCUUAACCCCUGGCCUGCAGUGGAUACGGACAGACUAGAGGUAGGUAGGGGAGAAUGGAAUUCCCGGUGUAGCGGUGAAAUGCGCAGAUAUCGGGAGGAACACCGGUGGCGAAGGCGGUUCUCUGGGCCUUACCUGACGCUGAGGAGCGAAAGCGUGGGGAGCGAACAGG
rnacentral:rRNA from 1 species